UACGAAGGGGGGCUAGCGUUGCUCGGAUUGACUGGGCGUAAAGGGCGCGUAGGCGGUUUGCACAGUCAGACGUGAAAUUCCUGGGCUCAACCUGGGGGCUGCGUUUGAUACGUGUAGACUUGAGUGCGGAAGAGGGUCGUGGAAUUCCCAGUGUAGAGGUGAAAUUCGUAGAUAUUGGGAAGAACACCGGUGGCGAAGGCGGCGACCUGGUCUGAUACUGACGCUGAGGCGCGACAGCGUGGGGAGCAAACAGG
rnacentral:rRNA from 1 species